rnacentral:lncRNA from 1 species
UGUUUCCAUUUCUAAUGAUCUCAAAAGCCCACCGCGACUGAGGAUCCCACGUAGAGCUCGCCUUUCCGUCAUUACAUAUUUACUGAUGGUUGUUGGUUUAACUUUGUCGGUCAUCAACUCUUUUCCUUGUCCCUAUACUGAGGUGAGUAUGCCCGUUGUACUGCGAUGCGUGUCCGAGAAGGACUUGCGAGUCCAUUCAAAAGCGCUCACGAUGUUUAAUACUCACGUUGAAGAGAGCCCAACACCACCGACCUCAGAAG